UUGGCUUAGAAGCAGCCAUCAUUUAAAGAAAGCGUAAUAGCUCACUGGUCGAGUCGGCCUGCGCGGAAGAUGUAACGGGGCUAAACCAUGCACCGAAGCUGCGGCAGCGACACUAUGUGUUGUUGGGUAGGGGAGCGUUCUGUAAGCCUGUGAAGGUGUGCUGUGAGGCAUGCUGGAGGUAUCAGAAGUGCGAAUGCUGACAUAAGUAACGAUAAAGCGGGUGAAAAGCCCGCUCGCCGGAAGACCAAGGGUUCCUGUCCAACGUUAAUCGGGGCAGGGUGAGUCGACCCCUAAGGCGAGGCCGAAAGGCGUAGUCGAUGGGAAACAGGUUAAUAUUCCUGUACUUGGUGUUACUGCGAAGGGGGGACGGAGAAGGCUAUGUUGGCCGGGCGACGGUUGUCCCGGUUUAAGCGUGUAGGCUGGUUUUCCAGGCAAAUCCGGAAAAUCAAGGCUGAGGCGUGAUGACGAGGCACUACGGUGCUGAAGCAACAAAUGCCCUGCU
rnacentral:rRNA from 1 species